rnacentral:lncRNA from 1 species
UAAACAAAUUUAAUAUCUUUAUUCCAGUUUAUUACAACUUAAAUAAUCACAAAUACUAUUUUCAAAAGGAAAUACAUGUACCUUCAGUUUUUCUCUAAAUGAUAACAAAACCAGAUGUUCCGCAGGGCACAGCUUUAUACGACUGCAGAGGUCAACCCUGAACAGUUGGUGCAAGUAUGGACACAACAUUUAAGCUUGAUACAGCUCUGAAUUUGGAUUGUGAUUAAAUAGCUGACACAACAUAGGUUUCUGACACAGAAUGAAUGUGGUCUAAGAACUUAAACUUAAAAAAACUUUAAAAUUUUAAAUUGGACAUUUACCUAUUAUGGUCCAAUAUCCAAAAUCUAAAUACAUGGUUAGAUUCAGCAUAUCAACAGAACCCUAAGAAUUCAAUUUUUAAUGAAAUCAAAUAAUGUUCAAUUUUAGAUCCUUUAGACCUAAAUGUGGACCAAUUUGAUUACGGGGCCCAAAUAUUAAAAAUCUAAAUACAUGGUUAGAUUCAGCAUAUUGAAGAACCCCAAAUAUUCGAUUUUUGUUGAAAUCAAACAAAGUUUAAUUUUUGAUCCUUUGGACCUUAAUGUAGACCAAUUUGAAAACAGAACAAUACUGUGCAAUUGAAUAUUUCUUGCUAUUGUGCAAAACUGUGCAAUUGAACAUUUCUUGCUCUUCCGCAAUAUUGUGCAAUUAGAUAUUUCUUGCUAUUGCGCAAUACUGUGCAAUUGAAGAUUUCUUGCUAUUGCACAAUGUUGUGCAAUUGAAAAUUUCUUCCUAUUGCACAAUACUGUGCAAUUGAAGAUUUCUUGCUAUUGCGGAAUACUGUGCAAUUGAAAAUUUCUUGCUAUUGCACAAUACUUAAUAUAAUAAUUUUGGACCUUUAAAGAGCUCUGAGGGAAAAGACAGCCAUUGUUUCUAUUUUUUGGGGGGUAUCUUUUGAUAGUCUACAUACAAGAAUGAGCAAAAGAACAGCUAGAACAAAAGGUUGACAAUUAUGAAACUAAUUGUUGUUUAUUGUUAUUUUAUUUCCUAAGUCAAGAAUUCAUCAUAGAGACAAUUUUGACCAAUUAGAUCUGCAACUUCUAAAUCAAAACAUUUGAUUAAAGUUGGGAGUUAAUUAUCUAUUAAAACCAGGUGCUCCACAGGGCGCAGCUUUAUACGACCGCAGAGGUCGAACCCUGAACAGUUGGGGCAAGUAUCGACAAAACAUUCAAGCGUGAUACAGCUCUGAAUUUGGAUUGUGAUCAAAUUUUUGACAUUAUAUGGGUUUUUUUACACAAAACAAAUGUCAAGAUUUUACAAAUCAAUUAAAGAUUUCUUCUUCAAACUUAUUUAAAUCUAAAAUUAAAUAGUUGACACAGCAUAAGUUUCUGACACAGAAUGAAUGUGGUCUAAUGAACUUAAAAAUUUUUUUUUUGCCUUUCGGCAAUUCACUAUGCUGUUGAAUAUUAAUCCUCUCAAAAAAAUGUUUGAAGAAAUUUUUUUUUUAUUUAUGAAAUCUGAAAUGAGAAAAAUUUAACCCCCCCCCAUUUUUUUUUCACAUCCCCCUUUCCCUUUUUCCAAAACUGAUAUCAAUUCAAAUUUCUAAUGGAGUUUGCAACAAUAACUACUCUUAAAUACAUCAUAAAAUAUUAAAAUGUAAAAUAAAGUGCUUGUUAUCACUGAAUGGUAAAAGAUUGGUUGGUAGUAAAAGUGAAUAUACAUUGUAUAUUGUAUAAAACAAUGAUUUAAGUUGAUUCAACUACUAUUCUGAACAAAGAAAGAUAACUCCAAUUGAAAAUUU